GAUGAACGCUCGCUAUAGGCUUAACACAUGCAAGUCGAGGGGAAACGGCAUUAUGUGCUUGCACAUUUUGGACGUCGACCGGCGCACGGGUGAGUAUCGCGCAUCCAACCUGCCCUUUACUUGGGGAUACCCCGUUGAAAGACGGCCUAAUACCCGAUGUAAUUCAUUGAUGGCAUCAGAUAUGAAUAAAAGAUUUAUCGGUAAAGGAUGGGGAUGCGUCUGAUUAGCUUGUUGGUGAGGUAACGGCUCACCAAGGCGACGAUCAGUAGGGGUUCUGAGAGGAAGGUCCCCCACAUUGGAACUGAGACACGGUCCAAACUCCUACGGGAGGCAGCAGUGAGGAAUAUUGGUCAAUGGGCGCAAGCCUGAACCAGCCAAGUAGCGUGCAGGAAGACGGCCCUAUGGGUUGUAAACUGCUUUUAUACGAGAAUAAUUUGAUGCACGUGUGCGUUAUUGCAUGUAUCGUAUGAAUAAGGACCGGCUAAUUCCGUG
rnacentral:rRNA from 1 species